CCUACGGGAGGCAGCAGUGGGGAAUAUUCGGCAAUGGGCGCAAGCCUGACCCAGCAACGCCGCGUGAAGGAAGAAGGCUUUCGGGUUGUAAACUUCUUUUCUCAGGGACGAAGCAAGUGACGGUACCUGAGGAAUAAGCCACGGCUAACUACGUGCCAGCCGCCGCGGAAAUACGUAGGUGGAAAGCGUUAUCCGGAUUUACUGGGAGUAAAGGGCGUGUAGGCGGGACUGCAAGUCUGAUGUGAAAACCAUGGGCUCAACCUAUGGCCUGCAUUUGAAACUGGAGUUCUUGAGUACUGUAGAGGCAGACGGAAUUCCUGGUGUAGCGGUGAAAUGCGUAGAUAUUAGGAGGAACACCAGUGGCGAAGGCGGUCUGCUGGACAGCAACUGACGCUGAGGCGCGAAAGCGUGGGGAGCAAACAGGAUUAGAUACCCCUGUAGUC
rnacentral:rRNA from 1 species